rnacentral:rRNA from 1 species
GACGAACGCUGGCGGCGUGCUUAACACAUGCAAGUCGAACGCUGAAGCUCAGCUUUUGUUGGGUGGAUGAGUGGCGAACGGGUGAGUAACACGUGAGUAACCUGCCUCCUUCUUUGGGAUAACGCCCGGAAACGGGUGCUAAUACUGGAUAUUCACUGGUCUUCGCAUGGGGGUUGGUGGAAAGGGUUUUUCUGGUGGGGGAUGGGCUCGCGGCCUAUCAGCUUGUUGGUGGGGUGAUGGCCUACCAAGGCUUUGACGGGUAGCCGGCGUGAGGGGGUGACCGGGCACAGAGGGACGGAGAUACGGCCGAGACUCCGACGGGAGGCAGCAGUGGGGAAGAUGGCACAAUGGGCGCAAGCCUGAUGCAGCGACGCCGCGGGAGGGAUGGAGGCCUUCGGGUUGUGAACCUCUUUCGCUCAUGGUCAAGCCGCAACAAUGGUUGUGGUGAGGGUAGUGGGUAAAGAAGCGCCGGCUAACUACGUG